AUUGAACGCUGGCGGCAGGCCUAACACAUGCAAGUCGAGCGGCUGCACAGUGCUUGCUUCUUGUUUCAGCGGCCGACUGGCGGGUAGUUCCUAGGUAUCUGCCUCUCUGCUUUUGCUAACGUCCUGACGCGGGCGCUCUUACCGUAUUCCUCCUGACGGCGAACGUGUGGGAUCUUGGGACCUUACGCCAUUACACGAGCCUAUGUCGGAUUAGCUAGUUGGUGGGGUAAAGGCCUACCAAGGCGACGAUCCGUAGCUGGUCUGAGAGGAUGAUCAGUCACACUGGAACUGAGACACGGUCCAGACUCCUACGGGAGGCAGCAGUGGGGAAUAUUGGACAAUGGGCGCAAGCCUGAUCCAGCCAUGCCGCGUGUGUGAAGAAGGUCUUCGGAUUGUAAAGCACUUUAAGUUGGGAGGAAAAGCAGUAGGUUAAUACCUUGCUGUUUUGACGGUACCAAAAGAAUAAGCACCGGCUAACUUCGUG
rnacentral:rRNA from 1 species